rnacentral:rRNA from 1 species
GACGAACGCUGGCGGCGUGCCUAAUACAUGCAAGUCGAACGAGAGCGCCCGGUGCUUGCACUGGUCAAUCUAGUGGCGAACGGGUGAGUAACACGUGGGUAACCUGCCCAUCAGAGGGGGAUAACAUCCGGAAACGGAUGCUAAAACCGCAUAGGUCUUCGAACCGCAUGGUUUGAAGAGGAAAAGAGGCGCAAGCUUCUGCUGAUGGAUGGACCCGCGGUGCAUUAGCUAGUUGGUGAGGUAACGGCUCACCAAGGCCGUGAUGCAUAGCCGACCUGAGAGGGUGAUCGGCCACAUUGGGACUGAGACACGGCCCAAACUCCUACGGGAGGCAGCAGUAGGGAAUCUUCCGCAAUGGACGCAAGUCUGACGGAGCAACGCCGCGUGAGUGAAGAAGGUUUUCGGAUCGUAAAACUCUGUUGUUAGAGAAGAACAAGUGUUAGAGUAACUGUUAGCGCCUUGACGGUAUCUAACCAGAAAGCCACGGCUAACUACGUG